AUUUUUAUAGUGUAAAUAUAAACACAUUAUCCUUUCAAGAUAAAGCUAAAAAAUUUUUAAAAAUU
rnacentral:tRNA from 1 species